rnacentral:rRNA from 1 species
UACGUAGGGUGCGAGCGUUGUCCGGAAUUAUUGGGCGUAAAGGGCUCGUAGGCGGUUUGUCGCGUCUGCUGUGAAAACCCGAGGCUCAACCUCGGGCCUGCAGUGGGUACGGGCAGACUAGAGUGCGGUAGGGGAGAUUGGAAUUCCUGGUGUAGCGGUGGAAUGCGCAGAUAUCAGGAGGAACACCGAUGGCGAAGGCAGAUCUCUGGGCCGUAACUGACGCUGAGGAGCGAAAGCGUGGGGAGCGAACAGG